rnacentral:rRNA from 1 species
UACGUAUGGUGCAAGCGUUAUCCGGAUUUACUGGGUGUAAAGGGAGCGCAGGCGGCACGGCAAGCCUGAUGUGAAAGCCCGCGGCCCAACCGCGGGACUGCAUUGGGAACUACCGGGCUGGAGUGCCGGAGAGGUAGGCGGAAUUCCUAGUGUAGCGGUGAAAUGCGUAGAUAUUAGGAGGAACACCAGUGGCGAAGGCGGCCUACUGGACGGUGACUGACGCUGAUGCUCGAAAGUGUGGGUAUCAAACAGG